rnacentral:rRNA from 1 species
GGGUCAGUAGGUUGGUCGUGCCACCGGUACGUACUGGUCUCACUGAUUCCUCCUUCCUGAAGAACCGUAAUGCCAUUAAUUUGGUGUUGCGGGGAAACAGGACUGUUACUUUGAAAAAAUUAGAGUGUUUAAAGCAAGCUAACGCUUGAAUACAUUAGCAUGGAACAUUGAAAUAGGACGAUCGAUCCUAUUUUGUUGGUUUCUAGGAUUGACGUA